rnacentral:tRNA from 1 species
CGGGGUAUGGCUCAGUUCGGUUAGAGCGCUUGACUGGGGGUCAAGAGGUCGCAAGUUCGAAUCUUGUUACUCCGA